rnacentral:lncRNA from 1 species
CACCACACAAUAUACGUCGCUAGCUCAGACGUCUCUGGGCCCCCGUACUCAUCCAAUAUGCGUCGCUAGCUCAAAUGUUUCUGUGCCCCGGCACUCUAUACGUCGCUAGCUCAGAUUUCUCUUGGCCCCCGUACUCAUAUGCGUCGCUAGCCCAGAUCUCUCUUGCCCCUGCACUCAUCACACAAUCCCUACUAUUUAACUAUGUAUAUAUAUAUAUAUAUAUGUACAUCAUCAUUUCUUAACAUCACACAAUCCAAUCAACGGUUGAAUCAUCUAGACCCCUAGUUCCAGUUUACAAUGAAUGAGCUAACUAACAAUCAAGACUCAAACAGACUCAAUUCAAACAGACGGAUCAUGUUUCGAAAUCUAAACUACUAUAGGGAGAAUUCUACAGUGGUACCGGAUUUACGGAAUAGAUCCUCACCUUUGUCACUGGCUGGAAUGAUCGACGGGAGAUGGUCAACUGCAACACGAGAGUCAACGAAUUAGGCUCAGAUUCUCAGAAAAUAAAGUUUCCAAAAAUGGAAAGUUUCCUAAAAUAGAAAUGUUCCUAAAAUAGCAACUUUCCUAAAAUAGAAACUUCCCUAAUAUAAUUUAUUUCCUAAAUUAGAAACUUUCCUAAAAUAUUCCUAUAACUAGAAAUAAGGAGGCGACAAACUUACUAGAAAAGCCCACCGGAAGCUCGUCCAGAAGUCCCGCCGGAAGCUCGUCCAGAAGUC